UACAGAGGUCCCAAGCGUUGUUCGGAUUCAUUGGGCGUAAAGGGUGCGUAGGCGGCGCGGUAAGUCGGGUGUGAAAUCUCGGGGCUUAACUCCGAAACUGCAUUCGAUACUGCCGUGCUUGAGGACUGGAGAGGAGACUGGAAUUUACGGUGUAGCGGUGAAAUGCGUAGAUAUCGUAAGGAAGACCAGUGGCGAAGGCGGGUCUCUGGACAGUUCCUGACGCUGAGGCACGAAGGCCAGGGGGAGCAAAACGGGG
rnacentral:rRNA from 1 species